rnacentral:rRNA from 1 species
AUUGAACGCUGGCGGCAUGCCUUACACAUGCAAGUCGAACGGCAGCACGGGGCAACCUGGUGGCGAGUGGCGAACGGGUGAGUAAUGCAUCGGAACGUACCUUUCAGUGGGGGAUAACGUAGCGAAGGUUACGCUAAUACCGCAUAUUCUGUGAGCAGGAAAGCAGGGGAUCGCAAGACCUUGCGCUGAUUGAGCGGCCGAUGUCAGAUUAGCUAGUUGGUGAGGUAAAGGCUCACCAAGGCGACGAUCUGUAGCGGGUCUGAGAGGAUGAUCCGCCACACUGGAACUGAGACACGGUCCAGACUCCUACGGGAGGCAGCAGUGGGGAAUUUUGGACACGGGGGGCAACCCUGAUCCAGCCAUGCCGCGUGAGUGAAGAAGGCCUUCGGGUUGUAAAGCUCUUUCGGCCGGGAAGAAAUCGCACGGGCUAAUACCCUGUGUGGAUGACGGUACCGGAAUAAGAAGCACCGGCUAACUACGUGCCAGCCGCCGCCGUAACAC